AAAUGUUUCCAUAUAAAUAUUCUGGGAGACAGAGCAGAGAAGUCCUCCUGAACCCCAUGCUCCCUCCCUCCUUCCUUUCUGAAUCUGAAGGGGGACGGUUGGGAGGGUUUGUGUUUGUCUUUCUAACAUUUAUCCUCCUUCUGAUUUGUCUUUUCUUUCUCCUCUAGUUUUCAUGUAUUACUUCGAUAACCCGGGUGGCCAAAUUCCAUCCUGGAUCAUUAACUGGGUCGCCAAGAAUGGCGUUCCUAACUUCUUGAAGGACAUGGCAAAAGCCUGUAAGAACUACCGGGGCAAACUUCAGUAAGGGCACCGUGUGUUGGUGGAAUGAUGUCUCUGGAAGUGCCACAGCUCAGCAAUGCGCAGCUUUCCUUUCACUAUUGCACCCACAGAGGCCUGCACACAGUCCUGCACAUCAUCCCCAAGUGUGUUUGCCUGACGCCUGGCUCCUCCCCACUCUCCCCGCCCCGGGACUGGCUGCCUUCUUCCACUAUUGAAUGUGGGUCAGAUUAGGGGAACUUUGCUGGUUUAUUUUUGAAAAGGGAAAGUUCUCAGUAGGGAACACAAUCAUUUCAUUGUGCCAUUUUAGGGGGAUGGGAGGGUGGAGGGGCCGCAGAUCCUAGCAAGCUGGCUCCUUCCCAGAAUGUGACUUCUUGCCCCCAGGAGGGGCUGUGGGACGCUGUCCCCUUCAGAGUGGACUCCCGGUGCAUCAGACUGGGAGACACGUGCUGAUGUCUGUUUUCCUGAUGCCAUGGCGGGUUGAUUUGGCUGGGGUCUGAGGUGAUAAUCCAGUAAGUCUCUUCUUCCAAACCAUGUUGAAACACAUGGCAGGCCUGAUUACACACUCGAUGUGGUAGCCAUGUUUUCUCAUCCCCUAUGUCUGGGAUUCUCUUUGCCACCUGCCACUGGAGAGAGGAUAACCAUACCUCACUAGCUCUGCAUUUUAUCAGAACCUGAGGCAUCAUGAUGGGUCUCGAGGGUAGUUUGCAAGGAUUAAGAAGCUGUGCACACAGCUGUGAUAAAGUGUCUUUAUAUGCAAUAAAAUGACUUUGCCUUCUAGAAUGUUUGGAGAUACUGAAAGGACAAGCGUUCACAACCAGGGAAAUAUUAAUUAGUGGAUUGGCUGACUCUACAACUUUUUUCUCAGGAAUUCUACCUAAGAUGUCUGCCUACUCUACCACUAAAAGACUUCCAGUGCUUGUUUUCUCCUGAAUUUUGGUAGAGCAAGAAUUUCCGUGGCUAAAGGCAUAGCCUUCAUGAUCUCAGGGAAAAAUUUUAAUUACUGUGUGUGAUGGUACUGAACCUUGAUUAGUGGUUAUAGAAAUUCAGGAUGUAAAGCCAGAAGCAGAGGAUUUAUGAAAAUGGCAUAACUCAGACUGUAUGUUUUCUCUCUGGGAAGAAAAUAGAUUGAUUAUCAAUAAACACAGAGUAACAUAAAUUUA